UGUCCUGGGCCCUCGCCCCGCCUCCCAGCCUGUACUGCGGCGGCAGGAGGCGCAGCUGCCGGGGUUUGAGGUGACAAAACUGAGGCUUUGAGAAGUCCAAGAGAAUGCUUCUACUAAAUGGGAGCGGGAGCAGUCAAUUCAGGUAUAUGAUUUUUCAACUUCCCGUUCUGCCGAGGCUGCUGUACAUGGGAGCCCUGGGCCUCAAGCAUCAUCACAAGCCUCUUGGGAGUGUGUUGCCUGCUGCUGAGGAAAAAGAGUCGCUCAAGGCAAGAAGACCCAGAGCCAGCAAGACUGAAACAAAAAGCAAAGGAGUUAUCAUGGAGGAUGAGCAUACGGCUGGUGGACAGUUCUCAAAGAAGGAGAAAAAAUCACUUCUGAAAUUCUCAAAUCUCAUCUUUCAUCUGCCUGAGCAUAUGGUCCCAGGAGCCAGCCUCAUGGAACACAGCCCCCGAGAAAUGGAUGCCCUCUCUGUUUGUUGGCAACACCCAGCUACCAGGCCUGCAGGGGACCUGGCAGCAUCUAGCGGCGUGAUCCAGAGCCUGGUGGAGAGCUGGGAAGCUUGCAGCUCCUCUAAUUCUUACUGCUAUAAACCAAAGUUGGUUUUAUAGCUCAGUUUGAGAAUCGAUUCUCCAAAGAGCAAAGAAAAGGAAGAACGGGCUUUUCUGCUGGGGCCGCCCCCUUUGAGAAGCUGCUGCUCGUCAGCUGGGUCCCUGCUGCCCUGCAGGAAGCCAGGUGGCUGUGGCCUUGGCGUCCCUGGGCCCUGGUCGCCGCCGCCGCCAGCUCUGUCCGCACUGCUCCUCCUGCAAGCGGCAGGCCCGGGAAGGAAGAGUUAACCAGAAAUGGAGCGGCGCUGCUCCGGGGCAGGCAGCCUCGCCGCAGAACAGAGCAGCGUUCGUGCAAAGGCAAGUCAUUUCCCGAAACACUGCAGACACACGGCCUCAGGCAGCCUAAAACCUUUGGAGACCAAAAUGGCUCGCAGGGGUUGGAAGUAAUAAGGUGUUUUUCCCUUCUUUCUCCUUCACUGAAAUUCUGCGAGGUUGCUCUGCAUGGCUGGGGAACAAUGGUGCUGUUUUUGUGUUUUCUGUGGGUAUUAAGAUCCAUUACGCGGUGACAUUUUUAAGAUUGGUUAGCCUGUAGUUUGGUGUUAAAUUGAAGUUGUUUGUUUUGAAUUUAAUUCUUUCAUUUUUCAAAUGGAAGAAGGCAACUCUGCGGUGCAGUGAGGCUGGCUCACUGAAGUGUGCCCGGACUCGUUCUGGGGCAGAUCUUUGCCACCCCCGGACCUCGGCGGCAUCCGCCACGAAAGAAGAUGACCUAUUUCUCUCUUGGAAGAGCCCUGGCCCUGCAUGAUCCCUGUGCCAUCGAGCAGACAGCAUCUCCCUGAGGUGAUUGGAUCAACUGCUUCGUGUCAGUGUCACCCAUGCUUGCUUCGGAGUUUCAAGGCCUUGAUCCUGGGAAAGGAAGUCGAGAAGGUGAUGAGGAGUCCAACCGCUCAUACCUGGACUCUGGGCCCAUCCCAUGCUACCUUGUGCAUCUCCUUUGCCAAGAUGCCCCUCUGCUGCCUGCCCAGGACACAAGUGGGUUACAGACUGACUUCAAGGUGGGUCCAGGUCAGGCCUCAGGCUCCAACCCUUCCCUGCCACAUCCACAGGGCUGAGGCUCUGGGCCUGGGACUCAGGACCUACAGUUUCCUUUUUGACUCUGUCCCGGGGAUGCACAUGUGGAUUAAAUUAGAGCAAUAUGUUUUUCUAACAGCAUCUUGGCUAAAAACCCAAGCAGAUAAAUGGAAACAAACCCAGCUUUAUGUGAAUGAAAAGGGGCUGAGGGGGGAGCCACUUCUGCCUGAAGCAUCGCAGCCACACAGCCGGCAGGGCUGCCCCCCCGCCCCCCUCCUCCCCCGGCCCCCGUCCAGCCUUGACCCCGGAAGCCCUCACCACGGGGCACCUUCUGCCGCCCAGCCCCCUCACCAGGCCCCUGCUCUGGCUGAACCGGCUUCCUGGCUUCCUGGCCCUCUCCAAACCCGCUCUGUGCCUCCCCAGCCCUUGGUGGUGGCUGUGCCCUCUGUGCAGGAUCCUCUCUCAAGUCCGCCUGGCGCUGUGGUGAAGGGUACACAUUCCAGAGUCACGUGGGCAGGUGGCUUACCUGGCUUAUGGUCAGUUUCCUCACCUGUGAGUGGGGAUGUUCACCCCCCCCCAACCCCACAGAGCUCAGGGAAGACUGAGGAAAUGAUGCUCUUAGCACGGCACCUGGGACACAGCUAACAUUUGCUGUGUGUCAUUGUCAUUAUCAUCAUCUUAUUAUUGUUAUUCUUCUUAUUGCUACCACCUCUCCAAUUCACCUGGCCUCUGUCUUUGCCCCACUGAUCACCUCCUUUAGAGGGGUCCUUUCCUCCCUACAGAAUUCCUUCUGCACCUCCCACUGAUGGUUUCUAGAAGGCAGGGGGCCCUCAGGGCAGGGGCCUCAUCAGGGUAGCAGCAGAGGUGAAGAGGGCGGGUAUUUGGGUAACAUUUGUUGGUAGAUGGGUUUGUGAUCAUGGGCUUUGUUGUUGGUUUUAAUGAGAGGGCAGAGUUGGCCAAGCUCUCCCACAAAGUCUGCCUGUAGCCAUCACUCCUAGGCCUGCUUAUAGGUCUUUCCUGGGGAGCUGGUCCCAGGGGCUCCCUGGGGAAACAGGUGGUAACUUCACACUACCUCAGGGACGGAUUAGUCCCCGGAUGAUGCAUGAGUCCAGGAGUAGUGUUUCGUAUUAUUUGAAGCCACUCUGUUUUGCAGAUGCUUUCAGGGCCUUUCACUGAAGGAGCCCCUCUGAGCAUGAGAGCAUUACUAAAAUCCUUGCUCCUCCACGGCCUUCUCCCCCACCCCCACUGGCUGCUUCCCCACCAGAAAGCCCCACUCACUUGGCAUCCCCCAACUGAGGUCUUUAAGAGGGAAGGGAAGGGGGCACACCUGGUCCCAAUGCUGAGGCACUUAGAUGAGUUCCAGGUGAGGCAAGGGUUCGGUAACUCUCAAGUGCCUGAUGUUACCUACAAAAGCCAACCCCUCCUCUCCUCCUGGCUCAGCGCUCUGCCUCUGCACUUCUCUUGCGGACACGCCAUGCUCUCCUGGAAGGCAGAGGCUGCAUCCAACUCCCCAUUAUCAUCCUCCCAAGACCUAGAACACGGUAGGUGCUGCGUACAUAGAUGCUGUGAAUGAAUGAGAAGGAGACAGGGAGUGUGAAGUAAUAGGAAAUUCACACUGGUGUCUGCCUUUGGUUCCUGGUGGGGGCUCCUGAAAAAUCCUGGUCAUUUCCUGGAUAAUAAGAGGGCCUUUUGUUUGGAGUUUCUUGGUGGCUCAGUGGGUUGGGGAUCCAGCAUGCGUGGUCGCUGCUCUGGCUCAGGUUCGAUCCCUAGCUGGGGAAAUUCUGUGUGCCGCGGGUAUAGCCGGGGGGGAAAAAAAAAAAGUGUCUUGUUGGAAUGAGGUGACUCUGGGGGGCUCCAGGAUGGUGCUGGUCCCUGGAAGGACCAAGCCAUGUUUAGAAGCUUGGAAUUUUCAACCCUGCUUGUGAUUCUCUUGAAAAGGAAGAAGGGCUGAAAAUGGAGUUAAUGAUCAUGCCAAUGUGAUGACGCCUCCUUAAAAAUCCCAAAAGUGCAGGGUUCAGAGACCUUUCAGGUUGGUGAACAUAUCCCCAUACUGGGAGGGUGAACCAACCUAACUCCAUGGGGACAAAAGCUCCUGAGCCUCCCAGAGCCCUACAUAUGCCUGUUGAUCUAUAUCAUGUCCUUUUAUAACCUGGUAGAUGGAGGGACCUGUUUUCCUGAGUUCUGUGAGCUGCACUAGCAAAUUAAUCAAACUCAAGGAGGGGCUCCUGGGCACCUCUGGUUUAUCGCUGAUGGGUCGGACGCGCAGGUGGCAACCAGGUCUUGUAACUAGCAUCUGAAGUGGGGUGGAGGGCGAAGCCACUGGGAUCUGCUGGUAGCUUCAGGUGGAUGGGGCAGAACUGAGGUAAACUGUAGGCCGUCCAGCUGGUGUUGCAGAACUGCUCGGUGUGGGAACUCUUCCCCCCCAUCUGGUGCCCAGAAGUGUUAGAAGUGGGGUGUGCUGUGUGAAAGGAAAGGAAAAAGACAGAAGAAGAGGAAGGAGCGAAUUUUCUUCCUGAUACGCACACAGAGGAGGAGGGCUAAGAAAAUGGCCAUGCAGAGUUCCUGUCAUGGCUCAGUGGUUAACGAACCCCGCUAGUAUCUCUGAGGACGCGGGUUCGAUCCCUGGCCUUGCUCGGUGGGUUAAGGAUCCGCUGUUGCUGUGAGCAGCUGUGGUGUAGGUUGCAGAUGCGGCUCGUAUCUGGCGUUGCUGGGGCUGUGGUGUAGGCGAGCAGCUGCAGCUCUGAUUGGGCCCCUAGUCUGGGAACCUCCAUAUGCCGUGGGUGCGACCCAAAAAAGAAAGAAAGAAAAUGGCAAUGCAGGUUUUUUCACCUUUAGGAUGUGUCACAGGAAGCUGGUUGAGUGAAAGAAAACGAGGGCCCUUGAUACCCCUCUGGGCAGUGAUCUUCACCAAGGGUGGCCCAUAGGGAAUAAACACCUUCUCUCACUCCAGUCUUGAGCUGGAGAAACCCCUGGGGGCUGGACCCGACUAGAAGCCAGAGACAAAGGAGCCCAUUGAUGUGGUCCUCACGGGCCAGCCUUGAGGGCAGAGAGGCAGGUGAAGAAGCAUCUGGAAGGGCAGAAGGAGUGUGCGAGGCUCUCCUGGGAAGCAGGGAUGUGGCCGCCGUGCCUCAGCACUGUUCUCUGAUGGGGACAAAAAGGGCUUUUCCUCAGCUUUGCGCAUCCUCUCCAGCUCAGAUUCCCACGCUUUUUCAAUUCCCCACAGAAGACGGUGCUCGAAGGUAAACCUCUGACCUCCCACCUUCCCACACCCCAGUCUGAAACAGGGGAUCAGAAGUCACAAGCUUAAAAUCACAGCCGGGCUUUCUCCCCAAGCUGGUUUGGGAUUAUCGAGGUCAGAGUGCAUGGGAAGGAAAAAAAGCAGAUUCCUCCCUUUUAGGAAAAUAGUUUACAGUCGAAGCUACUCUUAUCUGCAUGCUCUUUUUGGUGACAAAGGGCGGAUGGAAAAUCAGGGAGUCGUUUUCUUUCUUUUCUUUUACAUUUUUUUUUUCUUCUGAUUUGAUGCUGGUGUCUUAAGACUCUGAGUUUAUAUUAAACAUGUGAAAGUGCCAAACCUCAAAGCGAAUCCGUGGAGCCAAAGUAAGUGGAAUGGUAGCGGAGAAGAAAAACGAAGGCGAGGUUGUGAUGUGGCGGCGCAGGAGGCCCUGUGGGCCCGCUCAUCUCAAAUUCUGCAGUGCGGGCUGUGCGGGAUCACAGCGCAUCCCAGCACCGGCUCCGAUCUUGUUGCCACGGGUGAGACGGGCCGGGCGGCAGCAUCCCACACAUUCAAAAGACUUGAGUGGCUGGUGGGGGGCUUGGAUUGCCUUCCACCAGCCACACACGAAGUCUAGAGUCUGGGAGAUGUCUUCUCCCCCAGCACGGUCUCCUUCUAGCGCCAUAAAGUGGGGAGCCCCUCUGUAGCUUUCUUUUCCACUAUGCCGUCUCUCUAUAGAAACAUAGCUAGAUAGAUGGAUAGAUGGAUAAAAACUUGUCAUGUUGAUGUGUAUAGAUCCAGGUUAUUCAUUUUAAUUACUAAAUAUAUUUCAUUAUGUGACUAUACUCCAUUUUAUUUAUUCAUGGCUAAAUGAAUGGAAAUUUAGGAUCGUCCCACUUAGGGGCUAAUAAACAAUGCUGACUCAACACGUUUUAAUGGCUCCUUGUGCGCCCCCACCCCAGGACUCUGGGGUAUGUAGCUCAAUGAGGAACUGUCAGGUGAUGGGUGCAUCUUGAACUUCUCAAGCUCUUGCCAAAUUCACCUCCCACUGGGAACACAAAACUGGUCCCAUUUCCCGCAUCCUUGCCAAUGGUUGAUGUUCUCAGAUGAUCAUAUUGUGCCAUUCUUAAUUUAUAUUUCCCUAUUUAAUAGUGAGCUUGAGGAGUUUCCAGGUGGCACAUCGGAUUAAGGAUCCAUAGUUGCUACUGCUAUGGCACGGUUUGAUCACUGGCCCCAGGAUGUCCACGUGUCCAGGCAAAAGAAGCCCAUGAUUCUUCAAGGCCAAAAAAAAGAGCCCGAAUAUCUUUUCACAUGUUUAUGGACUAUCUUGUUUUUUUUCACCUAUGAUUUGCCUGAUGGUAUCCUGACAUUUUUCUGUUAGAUUACUUAUAUUUUCUUACUGAUUUGUAACAGUUUGUGAAAUGUUCUGGCUAUGACUUUUUUUCAGUUAUUUGGGUUGUAAUCUCCUCUCCAGUCUAUGGACUGUUUUUUUUGUUUGUUUGGUUGGUUGGUUUUGUUUUUUGUCUUUUUAGAGCCGCACAUGGGGCAUAUGGAGGUUCCCAGGUUAGGGGUAGAAUCAGAGCUAUUUGCUACAGCAAAGCCAUAUCUGAGCCAGAUCUGCAACCUACACCACAGCUCAUGGCAAUGACAGAUCCUCACCUACUGAGUGAGGCUGGGGAUUGAACCUGGGUCCUCAUGGAUGCUAGUCAGAUUCAUUUCCACUGAGCCACACUGGGACUCCUGUGUGGUUUUUUUGUUUUGUUUUGUUUUUUUAGCAUUGCUGGUGGUUUCUUUUGAUGCACAGAAUUUUUGAAUUUUAAUGUAGUAGAAGUCUUCUUUUGUGGCUUGUAAUUUUUCUUUUCUCAAAAGUCCUUCUCUAAUCUCUAUGACAUAAAAAUAUUUUCCCCAUGUUUUUCUUCAAAUUGGUUGAAGCAUAAGGUACACACAGUAAAAUGCACCCAUUUGAAGUGCAGAAUCUGAUGCAUGUUGAGAAAUGUAUACAAUCAUGUAACCAUGACCCCAAAGAAGAUAAAGAAUGUUCCCUCACACUUGCCCAGACCAGCUGCCUUCCCACCCAGCCCCUGGCCCCAGGCAAUGACUGAUCUGCUUUUUGCCCCUACAAAUCAGCUUUACCUUUUCCAAAUUUUAAAUAAAUAAAAUACAUGGCAUUUUGACUUGUGGCUUUUGCCCGGCAUAAUGCUUUUGAGGUUCAUCCAUGCCGUCACAGGUCAUGGAGUGCUUCCUCUUUAUUGCUGCAUAGUAUUCCAUUGUAUGGAUAUAACACAAUUUGUUUUUCCAGUGAGUCUGUUAAAUGUUUGAGUCAUUUCCAGUUUAUUAUGAAUAAAGCUGCUAUGAAUAUUUGUGUACAA